rnacentral:rRNA from 1 species
AUGCUGCGCCGGAAGUCGCCGUUCGCGGCGGCGCCUGCGGCCGCCAAGCAGGGGGAGGGGGAGGAGGCGCCCGCGCGCAGGCCCGGCGCGCCGCUCUCGCUCGCGGGCCUCCUCGUCUCCAUCUUCCUCGUCGCCAUCUUCCUCUACAACGAGGACUCCGCCGCCGUCAAGGCCCCCAUCGCCGCCGACGCCGCGGCCGGGGACUUCCCGCUCGCCGGGGCCUCGCGCGCCCGGUCCGCCCCCGACCUCCACCUCCUCCACGAGGUCAACCCCCGCCCCCAGCAGCAGCAGCAAGAGGGGAACGGCGAGGAGGAGGGGCAGCGUCGCCAUGUGGAGCAGGUGGAGAGCAGGAGGAAAGCGAGCGACGGCGACAGGGUGGACGCGCCCGCGAGAGCAGACAAGCGGGCCGCCCCCGCCACGACGACGACCGCGACGCCUCCUCCCAGCAGCGGCGGCAACACCAGCACCACGAGCAGCAGAGCGGCGGUGGCGGCGCCGGAGCCGGCGGCGUGCAACCUGUACCAGGGGUGGUGGACGUACGACGCGGAGGCGUCGCAGGUGCCGCUGUACCGCGAGGCGGAGUGCGAGUUCCUGACGGAGCAGGUGACGUGCAUGCGCAACGGCCGGCGCGACGACUCGUACCAGCGGUGGCGCUGGCAGCCCUCCUCCUGCGACCUCCCCAGGUUCGACGCGCGGGUGCUGCUGGAGCGGCUGCGGAACAAGAGGCUGAUGUUCGUGGGGGACUCGCUGAACCGGAACCAGUGGGAGUCGAUGGUGUGCCUGGUGUCGUCGGCGAUCCCUGCGCGGGACAAGAAGUCCCUGGCCAAGUUCGUCGGGCCCAACGGCUCUCUCAACGUGUUCAGGGCGGCGGAGUACAACGCGACGGUGGAGUUCUACUGGGCGCCGUUCCUGGUGAGCUCCAACUCGGACGACCCGCAGGCGCACAGCGUGGCGGACCGCGUGAUCGCGUGGCGGUCCAUCGCCAAGCACGCCCGGCACUGGCGCGCCGCCCACUUGCUCGUCUUCAACACCUACAUCUGGUGGCUCAACAACUUCGAGAUGAAAGUGCUGAAGAACCCUCGGGCGAUGCCGGACAAGUACACGCUGGUGGACCGGCCGGUGGCGUACAAGGAGGUGCUCAAGACGUGGGCCAAGUGGGUGGACCGGCACGUCGACCCCGGCCGGACCAAGGUCUUCUUCAUGGGCAUGUCGCCCAACCACGGCGUGCCGGAGGCGUGGGGCGGGGGGCCGGGCGCCAUCAAGUGCGCCAUGGAGACGCAGCCGAUCCUCAACCACACGGGCCCGCUCUACAUCGGCACCGACUGGCGGCUGCACGGCGCGGCGGAGGCGGUGCUGCGCACCAUGCGCCGCGUGCCCGUCCACCUCGUCGACAUCACCGCGCUCUCCGAGUUCCGCAAGGACGCGCACACCUCCGUGCACACGCUCAGGCAGGGGAAGCUGCUGACCCCCGAGCAGCAGGCCGACCCGCGCACCUACGCCGACUGCAUCCACUGGUGCCUCCCGGGCCUCCCCGACACCUGGAACCACUUCCUCUACGCCCAGAUCGUCGCCGCCCCUCCGCCGCCGCCGGCGCAGGCGCAGCCCCUUCCGCAGUCGUCGUCGUCGUCGUUGUAG